GAUGAACGCUAGCGGCAGGCUUAACACAUGCAAGUCGAGGGGUAUGCCGAUUUAUCGGCAGAGACCGGCGCACGGGUGCGUAACGCGUAUGCAAUCUACCUUUCACAGAGGGAUAGCCCAGAGAAAUUUGGAUUAAUACCUCAUAGUAUAGCAGUUUCGCAUGAAACCACUAUUAAAGUUCCAACGGUGAAAGAUGAGCAUGCGUCCCAUUAGCUAGAUGGUAAGGUAACGGCUUACCAUGGCUACGAUGGGUAGGGGUCCUGAGAGGGAGAUCCCCCACACUGGUACUGAGACACGGACCAGACUCCUACGGGAGGCAGCAGUGAGGAAUAUUGGUCAAUGGACGCAAGUCUGAACCAGCCAUGCCGCGUGCAGGAUGACGGUCCUAUGGAUUGUAAACUGCUUUUGUACGAGAAGAAACAACAUUACGUGUAAUGUCUGACGGUAUCGUAAGAAUAAGGAUCGGCUAACUCCGUGCCAG
rnacentral:rRNA from 1 species